CGACUAAGCCAUGCGAGUCGAGAGGGUUCGGCCCUCGGCGUACUGCUCAGUAACACGUGGAUAACCUGCCCUAGGGAAGGGGAUAACCCCGGGAAACUGGGGAUAAUACCCUAUAGAUUACAGAUGCUGGAAUGCCCUGUAAUCCAAAGUUCCGACGCCCUAGGAUGGAUCUGCGGCCGAUUAGGUUGUUGUUGGGGUAAUGGCCCAACAAGCCCGUAAUCGGUACGGGUUGUGGGAGCAAGAGCCCGGAGUUGGAUUCUGAGACACGAAUCCAGGCCCUACGGGGCGCAGCAGGCGCGAAAACUUUACAAUGCGGGCAACCGUGAUAAGGGAACCUCGAGUGCCUGUAAAUGCAGGCUGUUCAGGUGCCUAAAACACACCUGAAGAAAGGGCCGGGCAAGACCGGUGCCAGCCGCCGCGGUAAUACCGGCGGCCCGAGUGGUGGCCGCUUUUAUUGGGCUUAAAGCGUUCGUAGCUGGGUUGUUAAGUCUCUUGGGAAAUCUGGCGGCUUAACCGUCAGGCGUCUAAGGGAUACUGGCAAUCUUGGAACCGGGAGAGGUGAGGGGUACUUCGGGGGUAGGAGUGAAAUCCUGUAAUCCUCGAGGGACCACCUGUGGCGAAGGCGCCUCACCAGAACGGCUUCGACAGUGAGGGACGAAAGCUGGGGGAGCAAACCGGAUUAGAUACCCGGGUAGUCCCAGCCGUAAACUAUGCGCGUUAGGUGUAUCGGUGACCACGAGUUACCGAGGUGCCGAAGGGAAACCGUGAAACGUGCCGCCUGGGAAGUACGGUCGCAAGGCUGAAACUUAAAGGAAUUGGCGGGGGAGCA
rnacentral:rRNA from 1 species